rnacentral:lncRNA from 1 species
CAUAUGGCUAGUCAUGGAAUCACUGCCAAUUAAAUAGCUGGGUCUCUUAGUUUCUCACUCUUGAAUUUCAUUUGGGAACUAGUGAGGACUUCAGGCCAUUGUGGAGGGUGUCUGGGGAAAGGAACUGUGGUAUUGAGCUGUGGAGGGAGGGCUUGGCAUCUGGAGUCUUCUGCUUUUGCCUUCUCAUAGCAGUGCCUCACCCAGCCAAUGGCUCCAUUGGUUAGCCCACUCCUUCACCUCUCCCUCUUUGUCUGGCUGUGGUGAUUAGCUCAGAAAUGCUCUUGUGAUCUGAUGUGGCCCACCAACACCCAGUCCUGGUUUUGGCCACAUCAGCUUACCCAAGAGGCCAGUUUCUUCCCUGAGAGUUGCUGAGAAGAUAGGCUGGGGCUGCUAGCCAUUAGGGGAAAACUUUCCUGAAAGUGGAAUCACGCAGAGAGAGGAAGAUGUAGCUGAGUUGAAGAGAGUAGGAUCAAAACCUGGGGUCCAGGCUGGGGAUGUUGCUCAAGCGGUAGCGCGCUCGCCUGGCAUGCGUGA